UACGGGGGGAGCAAGCGUUGUUCGGAUUUACUGGGCGUAAAGGGCGCGUAGGCGGCCACCGCAUGUCGACUGUGAAAUCUCCGGGCUUAGCCCGGAAAGGUCAGCCGAUACUGCGGGGCUAGAGUGCAGAAGGGGCAACUGGAAUUCUCGGUGUAGCGGUGAAAUGCGUAGAUAUCGAGAGGAACACCUGCGGCGAAGGCGGGUUGCUGGGCUGACACUGACGCUGAGGCGCGAAAGCUAGGGGAGCGAACGGG
rnacentral:rRNA from 1 species